CCUACGGGUGGCUGCAGUGGGGAAUAUUGCACAAUGGGCGCAAGCCUGAUGCAGCCAUGCCGCGUGUGUGAAGAAGGCCUUCGGGUUGUAAAGCACUUUCAGCGGGGAGGAAGGCGGUGAGGUUAAUAACCUCAUCGAUUGACGUUACCCGCAGAAGAAGCACCGGCUAACUCCGUGCCAGCAGCCGCGGUAAUACGGAGGGUGCAAGCGUUAAUCGGAAUUACUGGGCGUAAAGCGCACGCAGGCGGUCUGUCAAGUCGGAUGUGAAAUCCCCGGGCUCAACCUGGGAACUGCAUUCGAAACUGGCAGGCUAGAGUCUUGUAGAGGGGGGUGGAAUUCCAGGGGUAGCGGUGAAAUGCGUAGAGAUAUGGAGGAAUACCGGUGGCGAAGGCGGCCCCCUGGACAAAGACUGACGCUCAGGUGCGAAAGCGUGGGGAGCAAACAGGAUUAGAUACCCGAGUAGUC
rnacentral:rRNA from 1 species